CCAGGAUUUUAGUCAAAAGUGCAUUCUAUAUAACAAAUAUGAAAGGAGGAGAAUCAUACAGUAAAUCGGAAGAGAAAAUGUUAUGCAACAAAGAGGAACCUCUGGAUAUGAGGCAGACAAACACCUCAAUGUAUUUCCUUAUGCCAUGGUCCCUUCCACGCUAUCCACCUCCAGAUUGAUUCUCCUCCUUUUCCUUACUCAAACAGCCACUCACCAAACCAACCACCUCCCUCCUCCAUGACCCAACACAUCACUUCACUCACACAAUGCAUCGUCAGUCCCUCCCUUCACAUCGACUCGCUCACGCAGAAGUAAAGUGCAGAGGAUACACACAAAUGGAAAAGCUUUUUAAAACGAACGUAAAAAAAAGCUGAAAUAAAAAGCCUCAUAUUGAAACGCCAUGAAAAACACUAAGUAACUCAUGGUUAAGCUGAUACAGAGGCCCAACUAACAGACCCACAGUAAUGGCAGAAUGGUUGUAGCUCUCUGGACGGGGGGCAUCUGUUAAACCAAAUCCAAUGGGCCAAAUACCCGCAACUCAAGGUGGUACAGGGACUUGCUAAUAGACUGCUACUGUUCCUCUUCAGUUUCUCCCAAUAUACAAACAGUAACCUGAUCCACCACUCAGCCUGAACCACUACGCUAUACCCAUUGUGUCAAUCCACAGAAACAUGUCAGACAUAUUCUUGUGUGUGUGUACAAAAAUCACCCUCAGAACCCCCUUCAACAGAUGGCACGGCAUUAGCAGGGAAGUGCACAGAGGGAGAGACCCAGAGAGUUGAACGACAGAAAGAACAUGGCCAGGGCCAGACUAUGUAAAAGCAGCUUUUGUUACAACGGCACCAGAGGGUUUCCAUUUUGCCAUUACUGAGACAAACACACACCUUAAUGUUGCUCCUCAACACUGAGUCUUAUCUGAUAACAGUCCCAGACAGGAUGUUGUCCGCCCUCCUUCAACCUACAACCCACUACCAACAAUCUGACAAGACAGAAUCUCUCUCGGUCAUUCAUCAAUACUAACAACAACCGGACUGUCAGAAUAUCAUACAAUGGGACAGCGGAACAUUCACACAAUAAAAAGGUUACAUAUCCAAAUGUGAUUUCUUUGAGUAAAUGUACAACUUGAGUAAAUGUAUCUAC
rnacentral:lncRNA from 1 species